UGGGGAAUAUUGGACAAUGGGCGCAAGCCUGAUCCAGCCAUGCCGCGUGAGUGAUGAAGGCCUUAGGGUUGUAAAGCUCUUUCACCCACGACGAUAAUGACGGUAGUGGGAGAAGAAGCCCCCGGCUAACUUCGUGCCAGCAGCCGCGGUAAUACGAAGGGGGCUAGCGUUGCUCGGAAUCACUGGGCGUAAAGGGCGCGUAGGCGGACGUUUAAGUCAGGGGUGAAAGCCCGAGGCUCAACCUCGGAAUUGCCCCUUGAUACUGGAUGUCUCGAGACCGGAAGAGGUNAGUGGAACUGCGAGUGUAGAGGUGAAAUUCGUAGAUAUUCGCAAGAACACCAGUGGCGAAGGCGGCUCACUGGUCCGGAUCUGACGCUGAGGCGCGAAGGCGUGGGGAGCAAACAGGAUUAG
rnacentral:rRNA from 1 species